rnacentral:lncRNA from 1 species
GUUUCACCAUGUUGGCUGGGCUGGGCUUGAACUCCUGACUUCAAGUGAUCACCCCACCUUGGCCUCCAGAAAUGUCUUCCAACAGAAAUGCUGCACCCAGCCUGAUUGCUAAUUUUUUAGAGUGGAUAUUUUGUCUCACAUUUCACCAUGGGCUUUGGAAGAUGAAUUCACAUGCCUUUCUCUCUUCACUGGGCAUUUUAACAACAUUGUAAAAUCCAUCAGCUAAGAUUUCUCAAAGUCCCCCAAACCAAUCUAGCUCCCUUUUUACCUGCCUUUGUAUACUGGGGCUUGUAUAAGAUUUUAUUUCAAAAGGGGUUCUGCAGCUACCAAUGGCCUCGGAAACUCUUACGGACAGCACUCCAGAAGGAAGAAAUGAGGCAAUGUUCACUUCUUUUCGAGGCAUUCAUCACAUAUCUGGACCACUGCCUCCAACCCCACCCGCCAAGUUCACCAUUUCCCUUGCGAUGGAAGGAAAAAGCCCUGGCCCACGGGGUUGCUCUGAAAAGGUGGCCAAUUCACUUUCUUUUUUUUGUUUGUUUCCUUUUUUGAGACAGAGUCUUGCUCUGUCGCCCAGGCUGGAGUGCAGUGGCACGAUCUCGGCUCAUUGCAACAUUCGCCUCCCGGAUUCAAGCGAUUCUUCUGCCUCAGCCUCCGGAGUAGCUGGGAUUUCAGACACUUUCUUCUUUCACUUUUACUGACAGAAACUUGUUCAGAGGAGAAAGCCCAGGUGCUCUGGCCUGAGGCUCUGACCAAAACUAUCUUCGACAUCACUUUAAACAGUUAAAGAAGUAGUAACUUUGAAGGUUUGGCCGGGGUGUGUGUGUGUGUGUGUGUGUGUGUGUGUUGCCAAAGAUGGCAACUUCCGGAUAGGUCUUUGCUUGAUAAAAAGAUAUUAGCUGCCUUUUCAGUUGUGGAAGUUGAGGCCCAGGACACAGUUUGAAUGAGGUGGCUGGGGCAAAGGAAGACAACGUCCAUUUUCUGAGGAGCUAUGCUGCAGAGAGGGCAGCCCCCAGCACCCUCGGAAGAGUUGAAGCAGGGCCAUCGAAUCCUCUGGUUCUGUGGUUGUGGGACCUGAGGCGGCAGCUUGGGGAAAAAGGCUUCAAUCCAUGAAUUGGGCUUCCUAAUCAGCAACAUGGAAACUAAAGCCAGCUCCACGCAGCAGCAUGUGAGAUAAGGGUUCAGAGCCUGUGCUUCCAAGAUGACUUUGGGACCAGGGUGUAUGAGGAGGUAGGAAGGCGUGGCCCCUGCACGAGGCCUGGCUGGGAAACGCCGCUGUGAUCACAUCGUUCAUCACUCACUGCUGACCACCUGACAGUUUUCCAGGACCAAGCCUCCUGCACUGUGUGAUUCUGGGAACAUCUCCUCUGGCUCACAAGGUCUGAAAAGCAAACCAGUCAGCUAUGGAAGUCAGAGACUCCAAAUGGAGGGGCCGGCUGAAGCCAUGGCAGAAGAACGUGGAUUGUGAAGAUUUCUUGGACAUUUAUUAGUUCCCCAAAUUAAUACUUUUAUAAUUUGUUAUGCCUGUCUUUACUGCAAUCUCUAAACAUAAACUGUAAAGAUUUCAUGGACACUUAUCACUUCCCCAAUUAAUACCCUUGUGAUUUCCUAUGCCUGUCUUUAAUCUCUUAAUCCUGUCAGCUGAGGAGGAUGUAUAUCGCCUCAGGACCCUGUAAUAAUUGCAUUAACUGCACAAAUUGUACAGCAUGUGUGUUUGAGCAAUAUGAAAUGUGGGCACCUUAAAAAAAGAACAGCAUAACAGCAAUUGUUCAGGGAAUAAGAGAGAUAACCUUAAACUCUGUCCACCAGUGAGCUGGGUGGAACAGAGCCAUAUUUCUCUUCUUUCAAAAGCAAAUGGGAGAAAUAUCACCGAAUUCUUUUUCUCAGCAUGGAACAUCCCCGAGAAAGAGAAUGCGCACCUGGGGGUAGGUCUCUAAACUGGCCCCACUGGGCGUGGUCGUCUCUUAUGGUCGAGACUGCAGAGGUGAGAUAGACUCCAGUCUCCCAUAGCGCUCCCAGGCUUAUUAGGAAGACGAAAUUCCUGCCGAAUAAAUUUUGGUCCGAUGGUUGAUCUCAAAACUCUGUCUCCUGAUAAGAUGUUAUCAAUGACAACAGUGCCUGAAACUUCAUUAGCAAUUUUAAUUUUGCCUCAGUCCUGUGGUCCUGUGAUCUCACCCUGCCUCCACUUGCCUUGUGAUAUUCUAUUACCUUGUAAAGUACUUUAUGUCUGUGACCCACACCUAUUUGCACACUCCCUCCCCUUUUGAAACUCCCUAAUAAAAACUUGCUGGUUUUUGUGGCUUGUGGGGCAUCACGGAACCUACUGACAUGCGAUGUCUCCCCCUGACGCCCGGCUUGAAAAUUUCUCUCUUUUGUACUCUGUCCCUUUAUUUCUGAAGCUGGCCAAUGCUUAGGGAAAAUAGAAAAGAACCUACAUGAAUAUUGGGGCAGUUUCCCCGAUAUCAAU